AGGCAAUAGAUACCCAGGUAGUCCACGCCGUAAACUAUGCUUGCUAGCUGUUAUCAGUAUCGACCCUGGUAGCAGCGAAGCUAACGCGUUAAGCAAGCCGCCUGUGGAGUACGAGCGCAAGCUUAAAACAUAAAGGAAUUGACGGGGACCCGCACAAGCGGUGGAGCGUGUUGUUUAAUCCGACGGUAAGCGAAGAACCUUACCCAGGCUUGACAUCCUGCCAAGUUUUCCGAAAGGAAAAUGUGCCUUCGGGCCGCAGUGACAGGUGAUGCAUGGCCGUCGUCAGCUCGUGUCGUGAGAUGUUUGGUUAAGUCCAUCAACGAGCGCAACCCUUAUAGUCAGUUGAAUUUUUCUGGCUAGACUGCCCCGGUAACGGGGAGGAAGGAGGGGACGAUGUCAGGUCAUUAUUUCCCUUACGUCUGGGGCUACAAACACGCUACAAUGGCCGGUACAAAGGGCAGCUAAGUCGCGAGACGGAGCAAAUCCCAUCAAAGCCGGUCUCAGUUCGGAUUGUAGGCUGAAACUCGCCUGC
rnacentral:rRNA from 1 species